ACGAACCGAGCGAACGUUGUUCGGAAUCACUGGGCUUAAAGGGCGCGUAGGCGGGUGCUCAAGUCCGUGGUGAAAUCCUCCGGCUCAACCGGAGAACUGCCUCGGAUACUGGGCGUCUCGAGUGUGGUAGGGGUAUGCGGAACUAUCGGUGGAGCGGUGAAAUGCGUUGAUAUCGAUAGGAACUCCGGUGGCGAAGGCGGCAUACUGGACCACCACUGACGCUGAUGCGCGAAAGCCAGGGGAGCAAACGGGA
rnacentral:rRNA from 1 species